rnacentral:rRNA from 1 species
CACGUAGGGUGCAAGCGUUGUCCGGAUUUAUUGGGCGUAAAGAGCUCGUAGGCGGCUCAGUAAGUCAGGUGUGAAAGCCCCGGGCUUAACCUGGGAACUGCGUUUGAUACGGAUGGGCUAGAGUUCGGGAGAGGAGAGUGGAAUUCCCAGUGUAGAGGUGAAAUUCGUAGAUAUUGGGAAGAACACCGGUGGCGAAGGCGGCUCUCUGGACCGAGACUGACGCUGAGGCGCGAAAGCGUGGGGAGCAAACAGG